AUGGAUGUAAGGUUCGGCUUCCAAUCCAUCCAGGCCGCCGGCCAGUCCGCCGCCUCGCCCAGUUCUUGCUCGCCUUAUCUCGCGGGGAUGGAACAGGACGGCGCCGCCCGUCCCCUCGCACCAGGCCCAGGGCGACGGCGCCGUGGACGGCUGGGCGCACGAUGGCACGGAGCCCCUCCCUUACGGCGCCCGAGGCCGCAGAUCCUCCUCCCGUCCGCGGCCACGUCUCCGCAGCCGCUCGUGCGUGACCCUCAACUAUCACUCGGUGGGAGGAGCCUUGCGACGACAUGCUCCCGCGACCACAACCACUGCAGCCGCAAGAAAGCCGCAUGGAUUGGUGAUAUGUACUUCGUUCUGGGUUCAUCAAAAGGGGCAAUCUUUGAGCAUUUGUAUCAACUAUCGAUGAUCUCAAGUUCACAUGGAGUGCACUAUGAUCAAGUGCAUUCUGGUGCUAUGAUGAUUGUGACAGAAGAUAUUAGCUGCAGAAGCAAUCUCUAUGUCUCAGCUCCAAUAUUAAAAAUCAAUGCACCUGAAUUAUGA
rnacentral:rRNA from 1 species